GUCGCGGUGGUCGAUUGGUUAAGGCGUUUGACUCGAAAUCAAAUGGGCUCUGCCCGCACAGGUUCGAUACCUGUACACAACG
rnacentral:tRNA from 1 species